rnacentral:rRNA from 1 species
UACAGAGGGUGCAAGCGUUGUUCGGAAUUAUUGGGCGUAAAGCGCGUGUAGGCGGCUUUGCAAGUCGGGUGUGAAAGCCCUCGGCUCAACCGAGGAAGUGCGCCCGAAACUGCAGAGCUUGAGUACCGGAGAGGAUGGCGGAAUUCCCCAAGUAGAGGUGAAAUUCGUAGAUAUUGGGAAGAACACCGAGGGCGAAGGCAGCCAUCUGGACCGACACUGACGCUGAGGCGCGAAAGCGUGGGGAGCAAACAGG